UACGUAGGGGGCAAGCGUUGUCCGGAAUCAUUGGGCGUAAAGAGCGUGUAGGCGGUUCGAUAAGUCCGUUGUGAAAGUCCAGGGCUCAACCCUGGAAUGCCGAUGGAUACUGUCGAGCUCGAGUCCGGAAGAGGCGAGUGGAAUUCCUGGUGUAGCGGUGAAAUGCGCAGAUAUCAGGAGGAACACCAAUGGCGAAGGCAGCUCGCUGGGACGGUACUGACGCUGAGACGCGAAAGCGUGGGGAGCAAACAGG
rnacentral:rRNA from 1 species